rnacentral:rRNA from 1 species
UACGUAGGUGACAAGCGUUGUCCGGAUUUACUGGGCGUAAAGAGCGCGCAGGCGGUCGAUCAAGUCGAGUGUGAAAGCCCCCGGCUCAACUGGGGAGGGUCAUUCGAAACUGGUCGACUCGAAGGCAGGAGAGGGUAGUGGAAUUCCCGGUGUAGCGGUGGAAUGCGUAGAGAUCCGGAAGAACACCGGUGGCGAAGGCGGCCCGCUGGGCAGGAAGACACCGCAAGGUGUCGGCUGACGCUGAGGCGCGACAGCGUGGGGAGCAAACAGG